UCUGCAACCCGACUCCAUGAAGCUGGAUUCGCUAGUAAUCGCGCAUCAGCCACGGCGCGGUGAAUACGUUCCCGGGCCUUGUACACACCGCCCGUCAAGCCAUGGGAGCCGGGAGUGCCUGAAGUACGUGACCGCAAGGAGCGUCCUAGGGUAAGACCGGUGACUGGGGGCUAAGUCGUAACAAGGUACC
rnacentral:rRNA from 1 species